UACGUAGGGAGCGAGCGUUUGUCCGGAAUCAUUGGGCGUAAAGCGCGCGUAGGCGGCCCGAUAAGUCCCGUUGUGAAAGUCAAAGGCUCAACCUUUGAAUGCCGAUGGAUACUGUCGGGCUAGAGUCCGGAAGAGGCGAGUGGAAUUCCUGGUGUAGCGGUGGAAUGCGCAGAUAUUCGGAAGAACACCAGUGGCGAAGGCGGACUC
rnacentral:rRNA from 1 species